AGAAUAGUAAGCUAAGUUUAAGCUAUUAGGUUCAUACCCUGCUUAUGGGCAAAGCCCCUAUUCUA
rnacentral:tRNA from 1 species